rnacentral:misc_RNA from 1 species
AGACCGUGAACGYGUCAUCUUGCCUGCCAGCGGCGGCCCUGCCGUCGCUUGGCCAAACUCCUCGAUAACCUCCUCUCCUUGGAGCGGGGGCUCGGGGUAAAAGAACCCACGGCGCCGAAGGCGUCAAGGAACACUGUGCCUAACCCGGGGAAGCGGCUGGCUUGCUAGCUGCCCCUCGUGUUGCAAUGCUAUUUAAUCCACACGACUCUCGGCAACGGAUAUCUCGGCUCUCGCAUCGAUGAAGAACGUAGCGAAAUGCGAUACCUGGUGUGAAUUGCAGAAUCCCGCGAACCAUCGAGUCUUUGAACGCAAGUUGCGCCCGAGGCCACUUGGCCGAGGGCACGCCUGCCUGGGCGUCACGCCAAACACGCUCCCACCCCUCAUCGGGUKGUGGGAUGCGGCAUGUGGCUCCCCGUCUUGCAAGGGGCGGUGGGCCGAAGAUGCGGCUGCCGGCGUAUCGUGCCGGACACAGCGCGUGGUGGGCGAMCUCGCUUUACUUACCGCAGUGCAUCCGGCCCAUAGCCGACGUGAUGGCCUUAAGGACCCUAUGAACGGAGCGCAUGACGCUCCGACC